AGAGUUUGAUCCUGGCUCAGAACGAACGCUGGCGGCGCGUUUUAAGCAUGCAAGUCGAGCGGCAAGGGCCUUUGGGCCCCUAGAGCGGCGGACGGGUGAGUAACACGUGGACAAUCUGCCCCCCGGCCGGGGAUAGCCCAGGGAAACCUGGAUUAAUACCGGAUGAGACGGGACCCGCGGAGGCGGGAUCCGGGAAAGGCGCUGCGGCGCCGCCGGGGGAUGAGUCUGCGUCCCAUUAGCUAGACGGCGGGGUGAAGGCCCACCGUGGCGACGAUGGGUAGCCGGCCUGAGAGGGUGGACGGCCACAUUGGAACUGAGACACGGUCCAGACUCCUACGGGAGGCAGCAGCUAAGAAUCUUCCGCAAUGGGCGAAAGCCUGACGGAGCGACGCCGCGUGAACGAAGAAGGCCGUGAGGUUGUAAAGUUCUUUUCGGGAGGGGGAACAACCGUGGCAGGGAAUGGCCGCGGGAUGACGUGAAUCCCGGAAUAAGCCCCGGCUAACUACGUGCCAGCAGCCGCGGUAACACGUAGGGGGCGAGCGUUGUUCGGAAUCAUUGGGCGUAAAGGGCGUGCAGGCGGUCCUGCAAGUCCGGCGUGAAAGACCCCGGCCCAACCGGGGGGGCGCGCUGGAAACUGCAGGGCUUGAGUACAGGAGGGGAUGCCGGAAUUCCAGGUGUAGGGGUGAAAUCUGUAGAUAUCUGGAAGAACACCAAUGGCGAAGGCAGGCAUCUGGCCAUGUACUGACGCUGAGACGCGAAGGUGCGGGGAGCAAACAGGUUUAGAUACCCUGGUAGUCCGCACAGUAAACGAUGUGCACCAGGUGGCGGGGGGUCGACCCCCGGUACCGUAGCCAACGGCAUUAAGUGCACCGCCCGGGGAGUAUGCUCG
rnacentral:rRNA from 1 species